GAAAAGAGCUCAGUAACCCAACAGGAAAUGAAGACGAGUGUGCAAGAAUUGAUUUGUGGUCAUCUGAAUGAAUCUCACAUCUCCAAGGCUGGCUGGACUUACCAAACAUGAACUUGUCAGAAAAUCUGGACGAUACCACAACAGUCAGAAGACCUAGAGGAGUACAGUGUUGCUGUGACUCAGUGGUGUAUAAUGCAGACCAUCUACCAGUUGGGGAAGGAAUCAAUUGUAACAGGUAUUUCAAGUUCAACAACCUCAGAAUUCUGUAAUAGGGAAGACAAAAAAAAAAAAAAGAGAUACCAGUCUGGUUUUUUUGUUUUUUUUUUUUAAAGGCAGUUGAAGGGGUAAUGUGUGUACUAAGUCGUCAUUUAUCUUAUUUGUAGUGAUAAAAAAUCUCUUUCCCGACUUUUUUUUUUUUUAGUUUAGCAUAGGAAAUGUUAUUGUAGCUGUUUGUGUUUUUAUUCUUGAGCUUUUAUAGUGCCAAUCUGAUUCAAAAUUCUCCAAGUUUGAUUAUGAUUUCUGUGCAGCCAAAAAAAAAAAAAAACGAAAAAGAAAAAACACAGACAUGUUAAACUAAUAAUAAAUGGUAUUACAUCAUGAAUGUGAAUACUGCAUUCAGACUACUUUUAAAAAGUUAUGUCUUCCACUAGGAAAGGAUACUGAAAUUUAAAAAGCCCAUCACAAACUUCAAGCCUUACUAUUAUAUAAAUAUCCCUUUGAACUAAUUUGUGGUUCUAUUUAAAAAAAAAAAAAAUCAGGGACAUCAGAAAUGCAUUCAUAAAUUUAAGAGCCAGUGUAUACUUUUCAGAUUUUGGAUUAAGGGGUAGAAUCUCACUAGUUACAUAAACAUUUUUUUCCUUUUGCAGAUUUGAAAAGAAACUUAAAUGUAGCUAUUAACUCAGUAGUUACAGUGAUGGUCCAACUCAAUUUUGACUUUGCUUUUUGCUCCCUUUUUUUUGUUUUGUUUUUUUGUUUUUUUUUUUGUUUUUAGGAGCAAAGGGAUCCCUUUCUUAUUUUAACUGUUGUUGCAGUGAAGAUGGGUGUUUGGACUUUUAGAAGCCAGGAGACACCACCUAAAUUACAAGAUAAAAACCAAGGAAUCAAUGCACACUGGAAAAAGGAAUGCACUUGAAGAUUGAAUGUUGAAUACUUGCUGAAUGCUCCCAUUGAGAUUUUUCCUACGUAAACUUGAGUAACAUCUUAGGACAAUUCUCUGGAGAAACAUUGAUCCCUGGGUGGAGUAUCCUACCAUUGGCCAAUCUGAAGAGUUACCUCUGGAUCUGACUGCUCUAUUCCUCCAGGAAUAUUUUUAGGCUAGCCUCUGUCUGAUUCCUAAGCAAUUGUAAUCAUUAACUGACCCAGUAAUUUCUCAAAUAUCAGAUGAACAGAUACAAUUCUUACCUAGAUCUAAUUUUUAUCCCUAUUAAAGACACAAGAGUGUUCUAAUAUUUUGACAUUGUAACUUACGUUUUGUUUUUAGUUAGUGAUAGCGGUUUCUAUUUUAAAGCUGUUUGGAUAUUCAACGUAGUAAUUAGAUUAUUCAGUAUAACGUAAUCACAUAGCAGGGUGUGGUAAACAGUUUUAGUAGCUGUGUAAACAUUUUUCUUUAUCAUAUUUAAGAAUAAUUGCAGGACUUGAAAUCAAAUGUUCAUCAGGGUAAGGGACACCUCUAAUUAGCUAAUUCAUAGUUUUAAUUUGCUUCACAGUAUUCUGUAUUUUAACAUUGGAAUCACGUUACAGAAUAUGGUCUUAAUUUUAAGGGUUUUAAUUCAGGUUUGAUCUGACAGCCUUUUCUUUUUGUGCUUACUUUGCUAAUUCUCUUUAGUAAUAUAUACCAAAUAGAAUAUUCCUUGUGAUGAAGUUCAUUUUCAGAAGUCUUCAUAAAAUUUUUCAUUUUGGCAUUUACUUUAUGAAUUUAGUACUUGGGCAGGCAACAGAGGUUUAUUUUAUUUAUUUUAUUUAACAGAGGUUUAUUUUGUGUCUACUCUGUUAGUCGGCGUAGAGAGCGAAAGAAUGUGUAUAGCACUGUCCUCAGAGUGUUAGCACAAUAUGUUUUUAAACGAAUUAAGAUGACUUUCAGCCCUCAGAUGAACAAAUUCCUAAUUAACGAGUGAGCCCAUAUUUCCCCAAAAAUGAUAUAUAAAUGUUUGGUGUUAUCUUUCCGGGGGGCGGGGGAGGGGUGUGUAGGGAGGCAUAGAUUUUAGAAGCAUAUUAUUUGUCCCACAGAGCCCAUUGGAAAUGGUCCAGCGAAUGUUUGAGAAGCACAAAGAAGGGAGAAGUUUAUGAUGAAUAAAAACAUGGUUUCCAUGCUGAAUUUAGAAGUGAGAGAUCAGAGUGGGCUAGAAAGAGCUAUAAUGAGGCCAGCUAUAGGGGUUUGGAAGGGGAUGAACCAAGGGGCAUGGUCACCUCAAGGGAAGGCUUUUGGUGAGAAGAGGUGGUACUGAUGGGGUUUUCGUGUUUUGGCUGAGGAAUGGGCAUACUUCCUUUCUGCCUUGAGCCACAGAUAAAGCUUGUAGGUAAUAGAGAUAAGCAUUUGCUCUAGUGGUCUUUUGCCACAGAUGGAACAUGCAGCUGUUACUACACGAGGCUGGUUUCUAUUCAAACCUGCCUAUGUGUGGAAGUCUUAAGAGUCUAAUUGUGGCAGAGGGAGGUAGUGUUUACAGGGUGGGAAGGCUUGCAAAGUAAAUCCAAAACAAAAAAGCCUCACUUGUUUAGGUUUUCAAAUCCAGGGCAAAACUUUUUUAAUGUGUUAUUGGUGGAAGUACAACGUUUUUAAAGGUUUAAGGUUUCUGUGAUAAAAAUCAUACUGACCAGGUUUGUGUUCUAUGGAAUAACUCAAUUAUGUCUUGAAUACAUUUAUUAUUAAAGCUUAUUGCUCCUUAUUUGGAUCAGAAGUAAUGUGCAGAAAAGUUCCUGCGUAUAGUAUGAUUAAGACUAUAGUUUGUAAUUUUUAAGGCAAAACCAUCUUACUUUUCAUUCGUUUGAUAAAUAUUUGAACACGUUCUAUGCUCUAGGUACUAGAAGUCUAGAAAUAAAUAAAACAGGCUCAUUGGAAUUCCCAGUAAUUCUCGGGUCUGAAAAGUGUAUGCUGACUGGGAAGGCUUUGAUUCACCGUGUACCGCUCCUUCGUAAAGGCACCUAGAACAGAAAAGUUUUUGUAUGUAGUUUUAAGAUGAGCUGUGAUUUUCAAAUAGAUGAAGAUAUUCUGAGUCACCAUUCUAAUAAAGUAAUUAUUGGCCCAGUUCCACCCAAUUUCCCAGUUUUGGGUGUGGUUUUUAAAAGUCUUUUGUAACUUGGAAUUGUAACAUUCUUUUUUUGUUUCGAUUUUUUUUUUUUUUUGAACAGGUUUCUAAGCAUGAAUCAAGGAACAGAAGAAGCAGAGCAGAUGAUCGGAGCAGCAUUUGUUUCUCCCCAAAUCUAGGAAUUUUAGUUCAUAUGUACACUAGACAGUGGUUGUGAACAACCAUUUACUUGGUGUAAAGAACUUAAUUUCAGUAUAAACUGGCUCUGGGCAGCAUUGGUGAUGCCGUGUCCUGAGUUGUAGCCGCUGUAAUUGUGAAUAUUAACUGAGAUAGUGAAACAUGGUGUCCAGUUUUCUAUUGCAUUUUUUCAAGUGGAAAAGUUAACUCUAAAUGGUUGACACACACAAAUUGGUGGAGAAAUUGUGCAUAUGCCAAUUUUUGUUAAAAUCUUUUAUUUUGAACUAUACUGCUUUGAGAUCUCAUUUCAGAAGAACGGCAUGAACAGUCUUCAGCCACAGUUGUGAUGGUUGUAAAUGCUCACAAUUGUGCGUUCUUAGGGUUUAUCCACCCCUGGGGUUUGCAAGUUGUUCACUUAAAACAUUCUUAAAAUGGUUGGCUUCUUGUUUGCAAGCCAGCUUGAUACGGUAGCAACCAAAGAUUCCAGUGUUUGAGCAUUCGGAAGACUGCCUGCUUACCUGUGCUAGAAAUAACAGCAUCUAAAGUGAAGACUUAAGAAAAACUUAGUGACUACUAGAUUAUCCUUAGGACUCUGCAUUAACUCUAUAAUGUUCUUGGUAUUAAAAAAAAAAAAAAGCAUAUUUGUCACAGAAAUUUAGUUAACAUCUUACAACUGAACAUGUAUGUAUGUUGCUUAGAUAAAUGUAAUCACUGUAAACAUCUAUAUGAUCUGGGAUUUUGUUUUUAUUUUGAAAUGGGAGCUUUUUUGUUUACAAGUUCAUUAAAAACUAAAAACUGUUUCUGUAAGGAAAUGAGAUUUUUUUUAAACAACAAAAAUGCCUUGCUGACUCACUAUGAAAUCAAAAUCUCCCCAAUUUUUUAAUAGACUACUUCAAGCCAUUUGUUACAUACAGUUCCUUUGCGAAUCAUUUUAGAUUUAGUGUUACAACUUUUCCUCAGAUUUUUUUAUUUAAAAAAAAUUUUUUUUUUUUUUUUGGUCUGAAGGGGAAAGGCAUUCUUUAUUUUUCCUUUUAUAAUGACUUACAGGCACAGUACCUAGUGCCGCGGCAGCCGGGACUCCCGUGUUCUAACUCCUGCGGCCUCGCACUAACCGCUGGACUGAUUGUGCAUAAGAAUGAAAGCGUUAAAGGGUUUAACUACCAUUUUGUAGCUUUUCUUUAAAUUCCUGGUUAAUUUGGCUUUGAGCAGAUUGAUUCUUAACUUUGGAGAGCAUCCCACCAGGUGACCAGGUGAGGUUCCUAUGAUUCCUGACCCUCCCUAAGCCCCCAUUCUUUCCCCUAAGUUCUCUGUGCGCUUCCUCUUAAUCUUAAAUGCGCUCUUCUCUUUCCUCUUUCUGACCCAAUAGAAAGAAAAAUUUAUUGACAGUAAUUCUUUAAAUAGCGUAAUUUAUUCAUUUAUAGCAUGUCAGGAUUAAUUAAAAGAACCUUUGUCUGAAAAUGCUGCCAGGAGCCUGUUGUAAAUGUAGGUAUUUUGUAAAAUAACCUUGAAACUGUAAAUUGACAGGUUUGUUCAGAUUGUGUCAGGUUUAAUUUGUUUUAUUUUUUUUCUCUUUUUUAAAUCUACUUUAGCAAUAAUUAAUUCCAUGAUCACCACAUUCUGCUAUUACAGAAUAUAUUAGCACCCUCCCACUGCAGAAAUCUUAAUGAGUGCGAACUUUUGGGGUAGGCAGCUUACUUGUUUCUUUUCUAUCCACCCAUGUGAGUUAAGGUAUUUGUUUCUUGACUAAUAAACCCUUUGAUACUUUUAGCCAGAAAUCAGUCUCAUAAAGCUAUUUUUGAGUAUAGUUUGUGUAAAAUAAAAAUGUUUAGCUUUGGUAAUAACUUUUCCGAGCUGAACUCCCUCUAGCAAGAUAUUUUUCAGUGCUUUUAUUUACUAUGCACUUAGACUAUGCACUUUUUCUGAAAUAUUUUUGUAACACUUAACUUUUUUGUAUUUUUGCCAUUUGAAAAGGUUGUGGUGUAGUUGGUCUGUAAUUAAGUUGCAGAUUUCAAACUGCUGUUAGCUUUGUAAAUCAAAAUAUAGGUGUUUCUGUCCUGGUAUAUCUUCAUUCCAUCUGCAGCUGGAGCUGGAAUCCCAUUGAUCUUCUAGCUACCAUUCAUUUUCUUCACAGUUCACAAAAGAAGAAUGUGAAAUUCAGUGAAUGCUGUUCCUAAUCCUGUCGGGAGAUGAAUCUCAUUUCACCAAAAUUAAAUUAUGUUUUUCCACUAAAAUGAUGAUACAAGUUGAAGACACAUCACUCUGAAAUUGGAAGACCUCACCACUUAAGGCUCCGCAGUGGCUUACUCAGCUGAACUCUAGGUUACUACUCUACUUUGUUCACCCAUUGGGGGGUGCAGUUUUUUUUAAAUGUCGGGAGAUGGCCAUUCUAACUACUGUUGAAUGUCUCUGUUUUGGGAAGGUAUAACAAGAAAAUAAAAAAGAAUAUAUAUGAAGGGAGAGACUGGUUAUCUCCUCCCAUACGGUUGUGCUCAUGCUCCUAUGGCCUACAAAUGGAAUUUGGGAGGUUUGCGUUUUCUAUUAUUUUCCAUCAACAAAUAAGCAAGAGAUUUUCCUAUUUCUAUUAGUGCUUGCAGUGCUAUUAAAGUGUUUCAAGCGGAGAAUACUGUAAUGGCUAUAAACUGAAUUCCAUUAUAAUAAACAUAGCAAUCAAGAUUUUAGAAACCAAGCCAGUAAGCUAGUUCUCCCUACCAUUUGCUGAAAUACAGAGAAUGGGUUCUUCUGACUUGAGUAGAAUGAACGGUAGGACUUCUAAGAAGGGUGCCCCUGGACUUUCUUCAUCUCAGCUUCCGAAAAUUCAGUGGUCUGACCAGGGCUCUUCUUGAGCCAGAUGGAUAUGUAGCCAUGUUUUAUGUUUUCUUGUUAGUUUUUCAACGGAUAAGCAUGUGAUCAAAAUGUGAGUGGGUCUCUACGAGGUAUAUAGCAAAGCGUCAUGAACAAAAAUUUAUCUCAGAUCUGCCGUCCCCUUUAAAGUGAGACCUUGUGAGGCUAUACCUUGACAGGGUUGUUUUCGUGCUCUUCUCAUCUUUUAAAAUGGCCAGAGAUGGUGAUGAAUCAAGAGUAAGUUGAUCUCAUCGGUCUUUGAAUCAUCAAACAGUACCUUGUUGAAGUAAAAUGACUUGAUUUCUGAAAUGACUGUUAGACCCGUUAUGAGGACAUAAUGCAAAAGUAGUGAAAAUGUUGAACAAUAGGAGAGCUGUCAGACUAGCCGUCCACGGCCGCGGUCGCAUUGUUGGUCAGAUGGCAUUGUGUCUGUUGCUUGAGGCUGUGGACCCACGGUGACUAGAAGUCCACAAUGAGAAGGAAGAUUCUCCUCCUCCUUGUGAGUUGGGAGAGCCCUCCUGGGACUUCAUACUUCAUUCUGUUGUUUGGUCUCUGCUAUUUGUCAGCCUGGCACGGUGACUUGGUUCAUUCUGCCUCUGCCUGUACCAGAUCAGAUCCCUUAAAGAAGUGUUUUUGGGGAACUGCUACCAUUGGCUACUGUGUACACCCGUCUGGAUCAAAAUCACGAAGAAAUGUUUGUAAUGGCGAUUUGAAGUGCUGGGGCAGUGUUGAGUUCAUUGGUGUCCGUACCACCGUAGACCUGAGCCAUAGCACCUGACUCCCUAAAGAACUUGACUCCCUAAAUAACUCCCUAAAUGGGAAGAACAGUAAAGUGGAGGUGGAGAGAGUGUUGAAGUGGCCAGUAGAUUAGAUCAGUGUCCUUCAUAGUGAGGAGGCCAAGCAGGACAUGUAGGGGUUGUAGUGACUCAUCUUGUGUUUAAAUUCAGGAUUUCUUAUUCUACUUGGCCAUUUAUCACUCCAGCCAUGUUUGUUUUUAUAGGUGACUAUUUGGAUACAGAAGGGUUUGAAAAAAUGAACUGUUUUGGCAUUGUAGCGCACAUUCCAAGUCGAUUUUUAGACUGUCCGGGACUAUGCCAGCUACAGGGAAUUCAGAAGUGACCAAGACCAUCCCCCCCCCCCCCCCCCCAGCCUUGUUUUAAAUGUUUAUUUAUUUUAGGGAGAGAGAGACCGGGCAAGCAGGGGAGGGGCAGAGACAGGGGGAGACACAGAAUCUGAAACACGCUCCAGGCUCCAAGUUGUCCGUGUGGAGCCUGAUGUGGGGCUCAGACUCUAGACAGUGAGAACAUGACCUGAACCAAAGUCGGACGCUUAGCCGACUGAGCUACGACUGAGCUACCCCGGUGCCCCAAGACCAUCCCUUUUUAACAGCUCAGUAUAAGAGAAGAAAUAGCAAUUUUGUAUCACUGUAACCAUUGCUAAAGAGUAAGCAUUUGGGUGUUAUGAGAGCACCUAAUAGAGACAUCGAACUGUCUUAGGGUUUUAAGGCGUUUAGCAAAGAAAUGUAGACAAAUGGAGCAGCACAUGAAAAAUCUGAAAUAAAGAUGGGACUAAUUAUGGAAGGUAGUAAGUAGCUGCAGGACCAUUAAAGGUACGGAUAAAAUUCAGGUGCCCUUUGGAAGGAUCACAAAGUAUGGGCGGCCCAUUGAAGCUGUUGUAGGGAGACCAGGGCCAUUCCAAGAAAGCAAAAAAGUGUGGGAAACUUGCGACUGAGGCUCCUAACUGAAGAGACCUUUACAGUUCUACAUUUUAGCAUAGACCCAAAAGCUGUGGAAAGGAUUAGAUCAUCCAGUGGCAGUGGGAAAAGGACUGUGGAAUCUGCAGAGUAUGCCCUAUUUGUCAAAAUCCUGAAAAAUACUGAAGCAUCUUAUUUACUGAAGGAGACAUUUUAGAGGAAUUUAUGGUUCAGGUCCAAAUCUCAGUCUUCCAGCAUGGUAUCUUAUUUGGAAGAAGUGGGGAGAGAUUCCAUAUUAGGAUGAAAUUUAACAGCUGUAUGAAACUACUUUCAUUUAUUAACCCUCAAAAAUCCCUUGGCCUAUAGCAAAAUUUAGGUGUUUAUAUAUACGUUUCUUUGAUGCCAUUAAAGAUGUUCAUACAGGGCUGCCUGGGCGGGUCAGGUCAGUUGGUAGAACAUGAAGCUCUUGAUCUUGGGGUUAUGAAGUUAAGUCCCAUGCUGGACAUAAAACUUGUUUUUGUUUUUUGAUGUUUAUUUUUGAGAAAGAGCACCAGCAGGGCAAGUGCAGAGAGGGGGACAGGAUCUGAAGUGGCCUGUCUGCUGACAACAGAGGGCCCGAAGCAGGUUCGAACUCACAAACUGUGAGUUAAUUGACCUGAAGUCAGAUGCUCAACCUACUGAGCCACCCACGUGCCCCCCCCCCCCGCAUAGUUUACUUCUUUAAAAAAUCUGUUACAUAGACUGUUUUAGCUUUAUUCUUAAGAUAAAAAAUUUAUCCCCCUUUUCAUCGAUGACACAGUGACUUGUGCACAUUUAUCUACUAAAUCUCCUAGUUCAAACUUUAACAAGUCCAGAGCUAGGUCAUCUCUGAACUGAGCCGAUACCUGUGGAAAUAACGUCCUUCAGUCUGCGAGGUGCUUCUUACGCUUUGUUCUUUUGAUAUUUAAGGAGUGUCUGGCGGGCUGAGUCAGUGGAACAUGUCAGUCUUGAUCUCAGGGUCAUGAGUUGGAGUCCCACAUCAGGCAUAGAGUUAGUUCACCUUAAAUUACAAGAAUGGUACAAUGAUUCUUCCUUAUGCUCAGGAGAUUCAACAGUUGUUUACAUUUUGCCCAUUCAAUCUGUUUGCACAUCUAUUUAUCUUUUCAUCUUUAUUUUUGAGAGAGCGAGCAAGCAUGAGCGGGGGAGGGGCAGAGAACCCAAUGCGGGACUCAAAUCCACAAACUGCAAGACCAUGACCUGAGUUGAAGUCGGACGCUCAACUGACUGAGCCACCCAGGUGCCCUUGCACAUCGCUCUGUAAACAUACACUUUUUAACCAUUUGAGAGUAGGUUACGGAAGUAUUUUAAUUUUUCUGAGAACAAAGAUAAACUAUUAAUCAUGGUACAGUUAAUCAAAAUCAGAACAUUUUAAGAUUGACCCAGUUUUCUAGUCCAAUUCCGUCUGUAGUCCCAGUGUCUUUCAUAACCCUUUUUUCAAAUUGUCCAGGACAAUUUGUCCAACAAAAGAGCCAUUUACCGUACUUACUUAUGUUUUUAAGUUUGGAACAGUUCCUCACCCUUCCUCUUUCAUGACCUUAAUGUUGUGUGUGUGUUUGUGUGCGCUUAUGUGCAUGUGUAUGGUUUCAUUUUCCAGCUGUGUUCGCUGAGGGUCUGGAACUCAUGCUACUAAGGUAGCAGUGAGCACACCGGGCGCCCAGGUCUUGAUUUCUAAAUACUAAGGAACCACGGCUUCUUGGAGAAGUGUCUGACUUCAGGGCUGGGGUAGAGAAAAUAAAUACAAGGUGAACCUGGAAUAUUCUUGUGCCAGAAAGAAAGGAAAUCACAAAAAAAUGAUGAGUACAUGUCAGGACACUGGAGCCACUUGAAAGGUUCUUAUUGGCCAAAAGUGUAUCAGUUAUAUGAAAAUGCUGAUGACAGUGUAACUUAAAUACCCAUGGUUUCCAUAUUUGUAUAAAAGGAGGAGAAAGGAAAGCUCUUGAAAGAAUGCUGAUAAGAGUAAUGUUGCAUUUGAAAAGUCAACAUUUUACUAAAGGGAGCAAGUGCAAGUUUGAUAAGCGCGAACAUUUACGUUGUCAAAAGUAUUACUUACCAAGUAGAAAUACGCAUUACUUGCCAAGGAGCAUUCUAAAAAAUACCUGGCCCGGAUCCUCCAUUGGAAAGGUGGUGCGAUCAUCUCCAUUUUAAAGACAAAUUCUAGGUUUCAUAGCGUAUCUUGCAGAAUUAGAAUUUGAAUCCAUCUAGAACUUAACAGCUGUCCAACAGACAUCAUGUCAGUCCUUAAUCAUGACAGUUACUGUUGUUCCUGAUAGAAAAGAAUUUAGAAAGGUGGGACUACCCAAGAUGUGACAGCUGUUAGGUUUUAUAAAGCCAAGACCUAAACCUGGCUUCCUUUAGUUUUUAUAUGGUUAGACCUGGUGCCCUUUUAAAAUUUUAUCACCAUUUGAAACCCAGAGGUUAGUAAUAUUAACCAUUUAUUGAAUGCUGUAUGCCAGGCACCUUUCUAAUGCUAAUUUGCCUGAUUGUCACAGCUUCCCAUGAGGUAAGUCCUGUCUCCUGUUUACUUUUGGAGAUCCUGAGGCACAGGGCUGCAGGAGGUACUUUAUGUUCUCGUAGUUUCUCAGGAACUUCGCUUUCCUCCUUUAAUUUACAUAGUCAAUGUAUCUUUUUUUUUUUAAUGUUUAUUUAUUUUUGAGAGAAAAAGACCGUGCAAGUGGAGUAGGGACAGAGAGAGAGAGGGGGAGACACAGAAUCCGAAGCAGGCUCCAGGCUCCAAGCCGACAGCACAGAGUGUGACACGGAGCACGAACUCAUGAGCCACAAGAUAAUGACCUGAGCCGAAGUUGGACACUUAACCAACUGAGCCACCCAGGUGCCCCUAGUCUGUGUAUCUUUAAAUGCAUAUCGAGGGGCGCCUGGGUGGCACAGUCGGUUAAGCGUCCGACUUCAGCCAGGUCACGAUCUCGGGGUCCGUGAGUUCGAGCCCCGCGUUGGGCUCUGGGCUGAUGGCUCAGAGCCUGGAGCCUGUUUCCGAUUCUGUGUCUCCCUCUCUCUCUGCCCCUCCCCCGUUCAUGUUCUGUCUCUCUCUGUCCCAAAAAUAAAUAAACGUUGAAAAAAAAAAUUUAAAUGCAUAUCGAAUAGGAUGGCAGUCUAAGAGUUUCAAAGUGCAAAACAAUGCCAUAAAAGGUUCCUCAAACCGUUUGUAUACUUGAGUCCCGCAUUUAGGACCAAAUUCUACAUCUUGGUGUUUCUGUUUUUGUUUUUAGUCUCUUGGAAGAUGAUUGAAAUGAAGCGCCAAAAGGGCCUCCUGGGUGGCUCAACACAGGUGGCCCAGUCGGUUGAGCGUCCGACUUCGGCUCAGGUCAUGAUCUCAUGGUCUGUGAGUUCGAGCCCCGCGUCGGGCUCUGUGCUGACAGCUCAGAGCCUGGAGCCCGCUUCAGAUUCUGUGUCUCCCUCCCUCUCUGCGCCUCCCCACUCAUGCUCUGUCUCUCUGCCAAAAAUAAAUAAAACAUUGAAAAAAUUUAAAAAAAUAAUAAAUUAAAAAAAAAAAGAAAUGAAGCCCCAAAAGACGUACAGAUGUAUUAAAAUUACCACAACCAAGACUAGAACUCACACCAAGACAUUCUUUUCCUAGUGGUACUUGCUGUUAAGCCAGAGGAAUUCUUCUGUAUAAUGCAUUUAUCAGCCAACUUUUACCUAGUUACCACCAAGUACCCAUCUGUGUGCUAAUAAAAUGUCAGCCAAUUUUGCUAUUAACCAGUCUUACUAGAAAUUGAAAUCAGUUUUUUGAAAUCAGAAUGAUGAAGUACUAGUGUUGUAAGAUAAGUUAUUCAUACCUAAUCCAAGAAUGGGAUGCAUUGAUAAAAUCGCAUUCUGUUCGAUGGUUGGUCAAGGUAUUUUUCCUUGGGGGGAAUGUUUCAUUUACGGUUUUGGAGCAUAUUCAUGUGGCCAGGUUUGUGUAGGUUAUUCUAAUAUGCCAGUACAUUCACUGAAGGGGUUUUCUUCCCCCUGCCCUGUACUGUAGUACCAAGCCCGAGAGUGACAUUUAUAUAAGGAGUAUAAUGUGUUAGGUAGAAAAAAAUGUAGUCCAUUCUCAACAUGACCAUAUUAAGGCUGCAAUGUUACUGAUUCAGGGAAGUAAAUAGUUUGAAUAGCCAUUGGAAACAAUUUCUGGGGGGUGUCAGGCAGCACACUUUGGUUUUCUGCCAGUGGACAGUUAACACAAAUCAUGGUGGUGAUAAAGUGUUGCAUUAGAUAUUUAGGUUUGGAAAAGGGGAGGUGGGUAUUUUUAGAAGCUGCUCUCAACAGUUGCUAUGUAAAUAUUUUUUAUUAAUUGCAAAGCUGGUUUGCACUGUGGUAACAUUGCAACUCCAUUAAGAGUAUAACGUUUUAGUCUAGAUUUAGAAACACAGUAAAACUAAUUAGCCUCUAGAUUGUGUGUGUGUGUGUGUGUGUGUGUGUGUGUGUGAGAGAGAGAAAAAGGGCGAAUAAAGACACCAAAAUUAUGAAAAUGUUCUUGACCGUCCUAACCCCUGCAAAAUGAAGAAUGUGUCAGUUACUGCUUCUGUCUUGAAUUUCAUAUGACAAGCAUGCAUGAUUUUUUUUUAAGCCUGUGUACAAAAAGUGCAAGUUCAGUAGUUAGAAUAGAUUAUAGUUAAGUAGAUUAGUAGCUAAAGAGCAUUUACUGAGUCUCUUAAGUGCUAGGCCCUGUGCUACUCCCUGGGAAUUCAGGAGUGACCGUACGAGACUAUGCAAUGUGGGAUGUUACCAGAAUUGGUGCAAUAUAGAUGGAGGUCAGAGGAGAUAAUCUCUGAAUUGCCUAUUGAAGGAAGAGUAAGAUUUCACCGAGCAGAGGAGACUCCUCGCCUUGAUGCUAAUCCUGGAGGAAUGGUAGCAGAUCACACCCAUGUGAAGAAUUUAAUCGGGCAGAAUACCCACUCCUUCAGCUUAGAGCCAGAUGAGUGCUUCAGGCAGUGAAUGCUGGAGGUUCACACCUCUUAUAAUGAGAUUAUGUGAGUAAUAUGUAAGCCAUACGGAAGUUUUUACAAAAAGCUGAAGUAAUUUGGAAGUAAAGACAGUUUAGUUGGAAUACAAGCCCUAGGAUUUCAGUCUAGGAAGAGAUCUGAGAACGGUCAUGAGAUAAAAUGACAUGGGGGGGGCGGGGGGGGGAAUGGUAAGGUGUGACAAAAUCCAAGCAGCCAGCCUAAACUAAUGAAACAUAUUGGACCUUUGGUGGGGCUGGGUGGUGGCAGAGAGGUGCUUUUCAGAGCAGACAGCAGAAUAUCCUCAUCUCGCACCAAUUCCAACCCUUUCUAGCAUGUCCACAGAUUGCUAACAGUUGCAUCAAUAACCUCAUAAAUUAGGUACGGUAGUUAGGAGUCCUUGGAUUCUAUUACAUAUAUCAAGGCAAGUCUUUUGUUGGGUUUUAAGGCUGAUGAUGUGCCCCUAUGGGAUAAAUGUGUUCAAUGUCUUUUUAAAUGGCUCUUGUCAAUCUUCAAUUUCUAUCUUUAGAUAAAAAUAUCCUAAUAAUUGAACAUCAGGAAGGACAAUAUCAUACAUUAAUUUUACUCCGGGUGUGUAUUGUCACCCAGGAGACUAUGAAGCCUCCUCAUUGGGGGUUUUUGCUGCUUGCAGAAUCUGGAGGUGCCCAAUGCUCUGCUUUUUUGUCUUUGAAUUCUAUAUAUGGCACGUUAGCAGGCUAAGAUGGAUAAGCACGAGGAACAGCAUUACGUGAAAGUAAACAAUAAGAUCAUUGAAACUUGAAGCUGUGGUCUCCCUUUGGGAUAAUAGCCUGCUCAAGGUCACAGAGCUGAUGAGCGGCAGAUCUAGGAAAGAAUCCAGCUGGAGGCCUUUGCCACUAAACUGCUACUCUAGGCACAGGGCAAUGAUUCUAAGUACAGUUCCAGCACCAAUAGCCUGGGAACUUGUUAGAGAUACAAACUCACGCCCUGCUCCAGACCUACUGAAUUGAACUCAGGAUGGAGCCCAGCAAUCUGUGUGUUAGCACCCCUCAAAUACUGCUCAUGCUCGCUAAAGUUUGAGCAACACUGGCAAAAGAGAAUGAGGCCAAAAGUAGUUGGUAAGUAGAAAUUAGCUAUAGUGGGAAAUGGGGAAAACCUUGCAUCUGGGGCUUUCCUCCCACACCCACACCAUUCCCAUCACCACCACCCCCAUUGGUUUUUUAGCAUAUAAGGGUUCCAGAUUGCAAAACUCAUGUUUCUUUGUCCUAGUUUGUAAUCCUCGGAACUUGAGUUAAAAUUAAAUGAUUGACAUACAGUCCCUUUAAGUUGCAGACUUUUGUUUUUUAUUUUUUUAAAGCUUAUUUAGUUUGACAGAGACAGAGGGUGAGUAGGGGAGGGGCAUAGAGAAUCCCAAGGACACCGUCAGCACAGACGCCCAUGCGGGGCUCAAACUCAUGAAAUAGAUCGUGACCUGAGUCGAAACCAAGAGUCUGACGCUUAACCGACUGAAGCCACCCAGGCACCCCUAAGUUGCUAGCUCUAAAAAAAAAUGUAAACUUAGGGGGGGAAACCCGAUUUGUACAUCUUAACAGGACUCCGUUUUCAAUCAAAACCACUUUUCUAGGAGCCCUGUGAAACCCCACAUUUUGAAUAAUGCUUAGGGUCAGACGUGCCCCCAAGCCAGAGAUGUAGAUUUGGAAGCUGUCACCGUAGGAGUGAUAGUUGAAAUCCCAGGACGAGGGGAGUUUUUCCAGACUGCAUUUCCAGCUGGAUGUGAAGAAGGUUGAACACAGAACCCCGGGACAUACAAGGGCAAAGCAAAAUGAACCAGCGAAGAAGAUUGGGAAUUGUCACAAAGGACGUCCGGGAACUCAGCAGUGCCAUAUGGAGAGGUCGAGAAGGAAGCUGAGUGGUUGAUGAGUCAAGACGCUUCAUGCUAGUUGCUGCAAUGGCCAAACUCGAGACUAAUGGCUUUAUGCAACAUGUAUUUCUCCCUAGUGUGAGGGAUUAGCCUUCCACCUCGGCCUUCCAGGCUGAUGCUGCAGGGAAAUGUGUCAGCAAUGAACUGCCUGAGCGGGACAAACAUGUAUCACUUUUUUUUUUUUUUAAAUAAACCAUCGGCCAGAACCAGUCAGGCCCAUUCUAUCUGCAAAGGAGGCUCACCUCCUUUGCUAUUUAGGUACCUAGUUUUCUUGGUCACGGCUUGUUGGCAAGUGCUGCUGUACAGGAAGCUGGAUGUCAGAAAACUGCCCCUGGCUGUUUGUACCCUCACGUAUCCAGGCUAGGUUUUCCAGGAAGGCAAAGCCUGGAGCCAGUAAACUCCCAUGGCCCUCUGGCACAGUCUCCUGGCCUCUCUUCCAGGGCUUGUCACAUAGGAAAACAAGCCACGCAGUCGCUGUUGCUAGGAAACCCGUAAACACGGCAAGAAAUAAUCUGCCUAUCUGCUGAGGCCUUAGCGUUGCCACUCGCCCGUCGAUGUCCCACAGCUGCUUGACCUUCGCGGGGGGUUAUAUCUGUGUGUUGGCAUAGGGAUAAGGAAGAGAAGAGUGUGUGUCUCUCCUGCUGGGAGCAGGGUUUCUUUACAAGCAGAAGGCAUAAUUAUUUUUGUCCUUUGUAUACGGGAGCCUAACACAGGAAGGUGACCGGUUAAACUGCCAUUAGAAUCCGAAUCCAGGAUAGCGUUCGCUUUCUUUCAGCAGUGGUUCGCGUGCUGUUGAUUCAUCGGACGUCUGUUGCCAGGGCCACGUCUAUCUUGAACCUAUGCAAAUAAAUAAAUAAAAUAAUAAAUACGCUUUGGGGUCUAUGUGCUGAUUUUAUACGUAUUUUUUAAGUAAGCUUUAUGCCCAGCCUGGGGCUUGAGCCCCACACCUAGAGAUCAAGAGUCACAUGCUCCACCAAAGGAGCCAGCCGGGUGCCCUGUCUACCUGCUGAUUUUGGAUUCAAAAUGUGUGUUUGUUUGUUUGUUUGUUUGUUUACAGGGGGUGGGGGGCAGAGGGAGAGAGAAAGCGAGUCUUAAGCAGGCUGCACGCCCAGUGUGGACUCGAUCCCAUGACUGAGAGAACAUGAGUCAGACGCUCAACAGACUGAGGCACCCAGGCGCCCCUAGAUUCAGAGCUUUUAAAUGGCUCAUCCAUCAAAUGUUACUGCCCCCUAAAGAGAUCAGCAAAAGCUCCCCAGUUUCAGCUUUUUGAAAACAGAAUUGUAAUUCUCUCCUUACCGCUUCAGAUCCUCUGUCCCCCCCCCCCCCCCCGCCGCUCCCCACCCCUCUCCUGCUCACACUCUCUCUCUCAAACAUAAAAAUAAACAUUAAAAAAAAAAAAAACAUGCUUUCAAAAGGUCAGUGUUGCAGGUCUACCUAAAUCUGACCAUUUUAAUUCUUCUUCUUCCUCCGUGCUGACCCUUCAAGAAGACUGAAACGGAAGGACUUUCUUACACUUCCCUAAGUGCCUAAGAACCUGCCAUCCCUUCUGCUUCCUAAAAACCCAUGGAAGCUGACUUGAACACGUAUUUGAAUCUGCUUACUAGCUGGCUCUAGAGCCCACGCUUGAGGUGGCUAGUUACGCUGGUUAUGCUGCGUACCCCGGGAUUUGAGAUCCAUGCGUUGCAACGGCCACCCAAGUAUCAGAGUUGACUCACCAUGUCUCCCAAUGAAUCUACAAUUUUGCUUCCCCAAACCUGCUUUUCCUCCUAUAGUUGAUUCUCUCUUGGGGAAUGGAAGGCAACUGUAAGCAGAACACCUGAGCGCCUCCUUGGCUCUCUUAUCAAGCCCAAUUACUCACUGUCCUCACUGGUUUUGCCUACACUGGGCCUUUGUCACCUCUUAUCCGAACUCCUGCCUUACACUCUGCUCUAGUCUCCUUGCCUUGGGUCUAACCUCUCCAAUCCAUUCUCCACAUCAUUCUUCCUGAAUGUGCCACACCCUUUUCCCCCUCCUUUCAAGACGCUGACUGAGCUCCAGGAUCUGUCUCCUGCUUCCCAACCUAACCCAGCUAAUCUCUUGACUUCGAUCCCGGCCCCAAUCUCCUUCCCAACCCUCUACCCUCCCGAUAUGAACGCAUUUCCCAGGACACAUUAUCCCAUCGUGUUUCCAUGUACUUUCCCUGUGCUUACAGAUGACUUCCACUUUCCCCUCCAGUCUGCCCGCUAAUUCAAUUCGAGUAUUUCUAGAAAGUUUCACCAAUUCCAGCAGAAAGGUUGACCAUUCCCUCCUCGGUGCCCUCACUGCAGCACUUUCCUAACUGUGUUUGCUGUUGUAUUUCUGCAAUUAUUCAGACACACAUUUCCCCGUUCUUUUUCUGUUUCUUUCUUUCUUUCUUUCUUUCUUUCUUUCUUUCUUUCUUUCUUUCUUCCUUCCUUCCUUCCUUCCUUCCUUCCUUCCUUCCUUCCUUCCUUCCUCUUUCUGCCUAUGUGUAUUUAUUUUGGGGAGAGAGGCAGAGAGAGAAGGAGACACAGAAUCCCAAGCAGACUUCCUGCUAUCAGCACAGAGCCCAAUGUGGAGCUCAAACUCACAAACUGAGAUCAUGACCUGAGCUGAAACCAAAAGUCUGAGCCACCCAGCUGCCCUACUUUCUUUCUUUUUCUUUUCUUUUCUUCUUUUCUUUUCUUUCCUUUCCUUUCCUUUCCUUUCCUUUCCUUUCCUUUCCCUUCCUUUCCUUUCCUUUUUCUUUUUCUUUUCUUUUCUCUUCUUCUUUCUUUCUUUCUUUCUUUUUUUUUUUUAGUAAUCUGUAUGCCCAGCC
rnacentral:lncRNA from 1 species